UGAAUACGAGAUGCUACGGCAUCGAAGCAGUCUAUGUCAUACUUCCAAGAAAAGCUUGCACUGUCAUAAACAAAUAAUGCCUGUACCAUAACCGACACAGGUGGGUAGGUAGAGUAUACUAAGGGGCGCGAGAUAACUCUCUCUAAGGAACUCGGCAAAAUGACUCCGUAACUUCGGGAGAAGGAGUGCCUUAUUUUAUAAGGUUGCAAUAACAAGAUCCAAGCAACUGUUUACCAAAAACACAGGUCUCCGCUAAGUCGUAAGACGAUGUAUGGGGGCUGACGCCUGCCCAGUGCCAGAAGGUUAAAGAAGUUGGUUAGCAUUAGCGAAGCUGAUAACUGAAGCCCUGGUGAACGGCGGCCGUAACAAUAACGGUCCUAAGGUAGCGAAAUUCCUUGUCGGGUAAGUUCCGACCCGCACGAAAGGCGUAAUGAUUUGGAUACUGUCUCGGAGAGGGGCUCGGUGAAAUAGACUUGUCUGUGAAGAUGCGGACUACCUGCACCAGGACAGAAAGACCCUAUGAAGCUUUACUGUAACUUGAGAUUGAAAUUGGACUUUAUUUGCGCAGUAUAGGUGGGAGACGUUGAAAAUAUUCUUGCGGGAAUAUUGGAGUCAUCAGUGAGAUACCACUCUUAUAAUGUUAGAUUUCUAACUUUGUAUCAUUAUCUGGUCAAAGAACAGUCUCAGGCGGGCAGUUUGACUGGGGCGGUCGCCUCCCAAACGGUAACGGAGGCGCACAAAGGUUUCCUCUGAACGUGUAGAAAUCGUAUCUAGAGUGUAAAGGCAUAAGGAAGCUUGACUGUGAGACCUACAAGUCGAGCAGGGACGAAAGUCGGUCUUAGUGAUCUGACGGUGCUGAGUGGAAAGGCCGUCACUCAACGGAUAAAAGUUACUCUAAGGAUAACAGGCUGAUCUCCCCCAAGAGUCCACAUCGACGGGGAGGUUUGGCACCUCGAUGUCGGCUCAUCGCAUCCUGGGGCGGUAGUACGUCCCAAGGGUUGGGCUGUUCGCCCAUGAAAGCGGUACGCGAGCCGGGUUCAGAACGUCGUGAGACAGUUCGGUCCAUAUCCGGUGUAGGCGUUAGAAUAUUGAGAGGAGCCUUCUUUAGUACGAGAGGACCGAGAAGGACAUACCUCUGGUGUACCAGUUAUCGUGCCAACGGUAAACGCUGGGUAGCUAUGUAUGGAGAGGAUAACCGCUGAAAGCAUCUAAGUGGGAAGCCCACCUCAAGAUAAGUAUUCU
rnacentral:rRNA from 1 species